rnacentral:rRNA from 1 species
GAGUUUGAUCUUGGCUCAGGAUGAACGCUGGCGGCGUGCCUAAUACAUGCAAGUCGAGCGAACGGACGAGAAGCUUGCUUCUCUGAUGUUAGCGGCGGACGGGUGAGUAACACGUGGAUAACCUACCUAUAAGACUGGGAUAACUUCGGGAAACCGGAGCUAAUACCGGAUAAUAUUUUGAACCGCAUGGUUCAAAAGUAAAAGACGGUCUUGCUGUCACUUAUAGAUGGAUCCGCGCUGCAUUAGCUAGUUGUAAGGUAACGGCUUACCAAGGCAACGAUGCAUAGCCGACCUGAGAGGGUGAUCGGCCACACUGGAACUGAGACACGGUCCAGACUCCUACGGGAGGCAGCAGUAGGGAAUCUUCCGCAAUGGGCGAAAGCCUGACGGAGCAACGCCGCGUGAGUGAUGAAGGUCUUCGGAUCGUAAAACUCUGUUAUUAGGGAAGAACAUAUGUGUAAGUAACUGUGCACAUCUUGACGGUACCUAAUCAGAAAGCCACGGCUAACUACGUG